rnacentral:rRNA from 1 species
AGAUUAAGUUAUUAAGGGCGCACGGUGGAUGCCUUGGCACUAGAAGCCGAUGAAGGACGUUACUAACAACGAUAUGCUUUGGGGAGCUGUAAGUAAGCUUUGAUCCAGAGAUUUCCGAAUGGGGAAACCCAGCAUGAGUUAUGUCAUGUUAUCGAUAUGUGAAUACAUAGCAUAUCAGAAGGCACACCCGGAGAACUGAAACAUCUUAGUACCCGGAGGAAGAGAAAGAAAAUUCGAUUCCCUUAGUAGCGGCGAGCGAAACG